CUGGAUAGGUGGAUCAGUGGCGAACGGGUGAGUAACACGUGAGCAACCUGCCCUCCACUUCGGGAUAAGCCUUGGAAACGGGGUCUAAUACCGGAUAUGAGCACAUGGCGCAUGUCGUGUGUUGGAAAGUUUUUCGGUGGGGGAUGGGCUCGCGGCCUAUCAGCUUGUUGGUGGGGUGAUGGCCUACCAAGGCGUCGACGGGUAGCCGGCCUGAGAGGGCGACCGGCCACACUGGGACUGAGACACGGCCCAGACUCCUACGGGAGGCAGCAGUGGGGAAUAUUGCACAAUGGGCGAAAGCCUGAUGCAGCGACGCCGCGUGAGGGAUGACGGCCUUCGGGUUGUAAACCUCUUUCAGCAGGGAAGAAGGCCUUCGGGUGGACGGUACCUGCAGAAGAAGCGCCGGCUAACUACGUGCCAGCAGCCGCGGUAAUACGUAGGGCGCAAGCGUUGUCCGGAAUUAUUGGGCGUAAAGAGCUCGUAGGCGGUCUGUCGCGUCUGGUGUGAAAACCUCAGGCUCAACCUGGGGCGUGCAUCGGGUACGGGCAGACUAGAGUGCGGUAGGGGAGACUGGAAUUCCUGGUGUAGCGGUGGAAUGCGCAGAUAUCAGGAGGAACACCGAUGGCGAAGGCAGGUCUCUGGGCCGCAACUGACGCUGAGGAGCGAAAGCAUGGGGAGCGAACAGGAUUAGAUACCCUGGUAGUCCAUGCCGUAAACGUUGGGCACUAGGUGUGGGGCUCAUUCCACGAGUUCCGUGCCGCAGCUAACGCAUUAAGUGCCCCGCCUGGGGAGUACGGCCGCAAGGCCUAAACUCAAGGAAUUGACCGGGGCCCGCACAAGCGGCGGAGCAUGCGGAUUAAUUCGAUGCACGCGAAGAACCUUACCAAGGCUUGACAUGCACCGGACGCUGCCAGAGAUGGUGGUUCCGCAAGGUCGGUGCACAGGUGGUGCAUGGUUGUCGUCAGCUCGUGUCGUGAGAUGUUGGGUUAAGUCCCGCAACGAGCGCAAC
rnacentral:rRNA from 1 species